GCAAGUCGAGCGCGCCCUUCGGGGUGAGCGGCGGACGGGUGAGUAACGCGUGGGAACGUGCCCUCUUCUGCGGAAUAGCCACUGGAAACGGUGAGUAAUACCGCAUACGCCCUUUUGGGGAAAGAUUUAUCGGAGGAGGAUCGGCCCGCGUUGGAUUAGGUAGUUGGUGGGGUAAUGGCCUACCAAGCCGACGAUCCAUAGCUGGUUUUAGAGGAUGAUCAGCCACACUGGGACUGAGACACGGCCCAGACUCCUACGGGAGGCAGCAGUGGGGAAUCUUAGACAAUGGGCGCAAGCCUGAUCUAGCCAUGCCGCGUGAGUGACGAAGGCCCUAGGGUCGUAAAGCUCUUUCGCCUGUGAUGAUAAUGACAGUAGCAGGUAAAGAAACCCCGGCUAACUCCGUGCCAGCAGCCGCGGUAAUACGGAGGGGGUUAGCGUUGUUCGGAAUUACUGGGCGUAAAGCGCGCGUAGGCGGAUUGGAAAGUUGGGGGUGAAAUCCCGGGGCUCAACCCCGGAACUGCCUCCAAAACUUCCAGUCUGGAGUUCGAGAGAGGUGAGUGGAAUUCCGAGUGUAGAGGUGAAAUUCGUAGAUAUUCGGAGGAACACCAGUGGCGAAGGCGGCUCACUGGCUCGAUACUGACGCUGAGGUGCGAAAGUGUGGGGAGCAAACAGGAUUAGAUACCCUGGGUAGUCCACACCGUAAACGAUGAAUGCCAGUCGUCGGCAAGCAUGCUUGUCGGUGACACACCUAACGGAUUAAGCAUUCCGCCUGGGGAGUACGGCCGCAAGGUUACAACUCAAAGGAAUUGACGGAA
rnacentral:rRNA from 1 species